CUCGUAAAAACUUAACUAAAGGCACGCACGAAGAGAGAGAGGCAGAGUGGGUGAGAGCGCGGUAGCUUCUGUUCUGAACGUAACGGAACUUCUCUUCUUUUGCUGUAAAGUAAGUACUCGGGCAGGGGGGAAGGGCAGGGCAGGGUAGGGCAUUGCAGGCCGAAUGCAAAGCGAGUGUACAACGCCACGCCCUCUAAAACCAAUACACGCCACAAUAAAUCUCAAUUGAAAAUGCUUUUACAGCAAAAGUCAGUCAAAGCGACACAGAGAGAGAGAGAGAGUGAGAGCAGGCGAGAGGACUUCAGAUUGAGCUUCAGCAUCGAUGGACCUGCAAACGCAAAUGCGAAUGCAAAAGAAAUCAAUGGCAAAUGCCGUUUCACUUUGAGCAAUUGAAGGGAAUUUAUAAUUAAUAAAUGCCCCACAAGAAGUGUUGAGCCAAAGAGAGAGAGAGAGAGAGAAAAGUCGAGAGAGGCCGAGUGUGAGCGAGAGUCAGAGCACAAGUGCUGAUUAGUGCAAUGACAAAGCAAUCAAAACACUUUAGCCCAACGUGGCAAUUAAAAUUCACAAAAGCCCAAAGCCUUUGCCCACCUCUCCACCUCCCUUCAUCAUUGAGUGGUCCCCCUUCCCAUAUUAUUGAGUGUGUGUGUUUGGCGCCAUCUAUUGACCACAAACGGCAACUGCUGUUUGGUUGCUGCCAGAAGGGAAAUCGAAGAGAACAAGGAAUGCGCUCCAAGAAGUUUGCACCGACCGGUACCCUUUAAUAGUGAUUUUUAUUAGGAGAACCAU
rnacentral:lncRNA from 1 species